rnacentral:rRNA from 1 species
AGUGAACGCUGGCGGUAGGCCUAACACAUGCAAGUCGAACGGCAGCACAGUAAGAGCUUGCUCUUACGGGUGGCGAGUGGCGGACGGGUGAGGAAUACAUCGGAAUCUACUUUUUCGUGGGGGAUAACGUAGGGAAACUUACGCUAAUACCGCAUACGACCUACGGGUGAAAGCAGGGGAUCUUCGGACCUUGCGCGAUUGAAUGAGCCGAUGUCGGAUUAGCUAGUUGGCGGGGUAAAGGCCCACCAAGGCGACGAUCCGUAGCUGGUCUGAGAGGAUGAUCGGCCACACUGGAACUGGGACACGGUCCAGACUCCUACGGGAGGCAGCAGUGGGGAAUAUUGGACAAUGGGCGCGAGCCUGAUCCAGCCAUACCGCGUGGGUGAAGAAGGCCUUCGGGUUGUAAAGCCCUUUUGUUGGGAAAGAAAAGCAGCAGGUUAAUACCCCGCUGUUCUGACGGUACCCAAAGAAUAAGCACCGGCUAACUUCGUG